rnacentral:lncRNA from 1 species
GAAAGCUACUGGCCGUGCUGAGCUUGCCACCCUUUGGUUCUCCCGCGAGCCUGUUUUCAUUGGUGCACUGCCUGCUUUCUGGCAUUUUCCCUCUACGAUGCUCCGUUGCGUCUCAGGCAGUGAAGAGAUACCAGAACUUUGUGACUUUGGGAAGUCACUUAAUUUCUCUGGACCUUUUUCUUUAUUUGCCGAAUGGAAAUUGUAAUGGCACCUGUGUAAAUGAAAUACCAAGAAUCCUUGUAAAACAUUAGCACGGUGCGUGGGACAUUUACUAUUUUUUUAUUAAAUGAGUUAAUGAUUUGAAUUGCCCCCUCUUCAUUAAGUGCUAAUAUGUACUAGGCACUGUGCUAAGCUUGGAGGUGAAGAGAUAAACUUCAAAUUGUGAUAAGCUUGAAGAUGAAGAAAUAAAGGCAGAGCUUCCUAGGGCGGCUGCCAAAAUGGAGUAAGGUGUGGGCCCUCAUUUGCACCUCCUCUGAUGGAGAUAGCUGUGGGUUGUGGCCUCGUGGGGAUUUCCUGGAGGCCAGCUUCGUGGCACUUCACUAGUACAGGAGCUAGCUGCACUCUUUGGGCUACGAAGAAGCCCAAAACACAGCCCCAAGCAGGAACCAGCUUAGAAGUAUCCCUCAAGGGAAUAAACCUGGGGAUCUUCCUGGAAAGAGAGAGACAGGAGGUCCUGAGGAAGGGCACAAGGGACAAGGAAAGCAGCUCCCAGCUUCAGCAGUCUGCAAACCAGCCUGUCAAUUUGAAGGACACAUAGCCUGUGGGAUAGGGUGGGGCUUGUUAAGGCAUUAAGAAGGCCAGACCCCAAGUCGAGACCUGCCAAAGAUACCAGCAGGGACUAGAGGAGCAGACAGUUUGCGCAAGUUAGCUAUAAGUGGUGUAGCCUGUUCUGGCCUGGAGAAGACAAGGGGAUACAACAGCUGUAGCCACAAGCCUGACUAGUCCCCAAAACUUUGGAGAACUAGGCCUGGAGGUACAAACCUGUUCCUGGGUCUGAUUCCUGGAUGGAUCCACUGAGCUCCAAACAGUUGCCGGAGGAAGUCACAGUCUUACAGCAGAAAUUGUCCACAGGUACCUUACUACUGAUGCUGUAGCAAAGACAACUUUAUUCCCGAUUUUUGCAAUGCUGAUCUCCAACAGAACUCUCAUAAUUUUGAGAGAGAAUUGCUGUUUUUCCGCCAUGAACAAAUUGAGAUAAGAUCUCGUUAUGUUACUCAGGCUGGUCUCAAACUUCUGCCCUCAAGCAAUCCUCCUGCCUCAGCCUCCCAAAGUGCCAGGAUUACAGGUAUGAGCCACUAUACCCAGCCUGAUUCAAUCCUUUUAAAUUUAUGGAAACUUGUUUUAUGAUCCAGCAUAUGGUUCAUUAGUGAAUAUACCAAGUGUACUUGAAGGUGUAUCAGCCAGGCACAGUGGCUCACGCCUGUAAUCCCAGCACUUUGGGAGGUCAAGGUGGGCCUUGAGGUCAGGAGUUCAAGACCAGCCUGGCCAACAUGGUGAAAACCCGUCUCUACUAAAAAUACAAAAAUUAGUCAGGUGUGGUGGCGCAUGCCUCUAAUCUCAGCUACGCAGGAGGCUGAGGCAGGAGAAUCGCUUGAACCCAGGAGGCAGAGGCUGCAGUGAGCCAAGAUUGCACCACUGCACUCCAGCCUGGGCAACAGAGCGAGACUUCGUCUCAAAAAAAAAAAAACCAGAAUGUGUAUCUUGGUAUUUUGCAAUUGUUUGGUGUAGGGUUCUGUAAAUGUUAAUGAGGUCAAAAUGAUUGAUAAUAUUAUUCAUAUCAUCUAUGUCUCUAUUGGUUGUUUUUUUUUUUUUGUCUAUUGUUCUAUCAGUUGCUGAGGGGGGUUAAAGUCUCCAACAUGAUUGUGGAAUUGUCUCUCCUUUCCUCCCUUCCUUCCCUCCCUCCCUCCCUUUCUUCCUUCCUUCCUUCUUUCUUUUUUUUUUUUUCUGAGACAGGGUAUCUGUUGCCCAGGCUGGAGUGCAGUGGCAUGAUCUUGGCUCAUUGCAUCCUCCAACUCCCUGGGCUCAGGUGAUCCUCCCACCUCAGCCU